GGUAGAUCUAACAAUUAAGUGCACCAUUCAUCCUCCUCGCAACAUCAAUCUAAUUUUGUUUCUUCUUCAACUCAUCAUUUAAAACCCCAAAUUUGCUUUCAUACUUACUAUUAACCUUCCUCAUUGCAUCAAUCUCGUUUUGUUUCUUCUUCAACUCAUUAUUUAAAUCCUUAAAUUUGCUACUAUACUCACCAUUCAUCCUCCUCACUGUAUCAAAAUCUCAUUUUGUUUCUCUAUAUAAACUCUUGUAAUCAGCAAUUAUUAUUCAAUAAUACAUUCUAUGAUUUGAUUGUUAAGUAUGUAAUCAACAAAAAAAAUAUAUGUCCAUUUAACAGGCCGCAGAAGCCCAUUCAUGUGAAGCAAAUGACCUUUACACGUGGGGGACACCUGAUGUGCGUGGUGAGGCGAUUGCUCGAGAUUUUUGUAAAGAUGUCAACAAAACUUUAUCAUGUUACAUACCUCCCGGCGAUGUAAAACUUUGAACAACGGCUUCGGUGAUAUUCAUGGUAUUGUUUCCAUCGCCUGAAACAAC
rnacentral:lncRNA from 1 species